AAGAAAGCAAGUGCAACAAGAAAAUGAAAGAAAUCCAAGAAAAUGAAGGAAAGGCAAAGGCUUGACGGAAAGUGGACAGUCGCAAGGAUCUGCCAUAAGAGUCUUCCAAUUGGAGAGAAAUACAAACCCAGUAAGGUGUGAAACCUUAAACAUUCAAAUCUUGUCCAACCAAGUUGAGGUGAUUAUGAAUGAGGAGACUGGAGAAAGGACGUGGAACAUGGUGGCUCCUUUAAAAAGGAUUUAUGUAAAUCUAGUGGCUAUUUGAAGAUAAAUUUUAAUAGUCAAAAUGACGUUUCUCUCUUCUUGUAUUAGAAAGAUUUUCAAUAUUACACUCUUAUGAUAGAUGUACACUAUUGCUACACCAUAUGUUCUUAAACCUUAUA